rnacentral:rRNA from 1 species
CCUGGGCUCGAACGUAAGAUGACUGUAGGUGAAAGACUUACCAUCUCUUCGGAGCAUUUUACGAGGUGCUGCAUGGUUGUCGUCAGCUCGUGCCGUGAGGUGUCGGGUUAAGUCCCAUAACGAGCGCAACCCCUACCUUUAGUUGCCAUCAGGUUAAGCUGGGGACUCUAAAGGAACUGCCUACGCAAGUAGUGAGGAAGGCGGGGAUGACGUCAAAUCAGCACGGCCCUUACGUCCAGGGCUACACACGUGCUACAAUGGCCGAUACAGAGGGCAGCUACCUGGUGACACGGAUGCAAAUCUCCAAAGUCGGUCUCAGUUCGGAUCGGAGUCUGCAACCCGACUCCGUGAAGUUGGAUUCGCUAGUAAUCGCGCAUCAGCCAUGGCGCGGUGAAUACGUUCCCGGGCCUU